rnacentral:rRNA from 1 species
GGGCCCGCACAAGCGGUGGAGCAUGUGGUUUAAUUCGAUGAUACGCGAGGAACCUUACCAGGGCUUAAAUGUAAGUUGCAUUAGUUAGAGAUAGCUAUUUCUUCGGACUACUUACAAGGUGCUGCAUGGUUGUCGUCAGCUCGUGCCGUGAGGUGUCAGGUUAAGUCCUAUAACGAGCGCAACCCCUGUUGUUAGUUGCCAUCGAGUCAUGUCGGGAACUCUAACAAGACUGCCGGUGCAAACCGUGAGGAAGGUGGGGAUGACGUCAAAUCAUCACGGCCCUUACGUCCUGGGCUACACACGUGCUACAAUGGCCGGUACAGAGAGCAGCCACUACGCGAGUAGGCGCGAAUCUUCAAAGCCGGUCUCAGUUCGGAUCGGAGUCUGCAACUCGACUCCGUGAAGUCGGAAUUGCUAGUAAUCGC